rnacentral:rRNA from 1 species
GACGAACGCUGGCGGCGUGCUUAACACAUGCAAGUCGAACGGAAAGGCCCUGCUUUUGUGGGGUGCUCGAUUGGCGAACGCGUGAGUAACACGUGAGUAACCUGCCCUUGACUUUCGGAUAACUUCAGGAAACUGGGGCUAAUACCGGAUAGGAUCUCCUGCUGCAUGGUGGGGGUUGGAAAGUUUCGGCGGUUGGGGAUAGACUCGCGGCUUAUCAGCUUGUUGGUGGGGUAGUGGCAUACCAAGGCUUUGACGGGUAGCCGGCCUGAGAGGGUGACCGGCCACAAUGGGACUAAGAUACGGACCAGACUCCUACGGGAGGCAGCAGUGGGGAAUAUUACACAAUAGCCGGAAGCCAGAUGCGGCAACGCCGCGUGCGGGAUAACGGCCUUCGGGUUGUAAACCGCUUUCGCCUGAGACGAAGCGUGAGUGACGGUAAUGGGUAAGGAAGCACCGGCUAACUACGUG